rnacentral:rRNA from 1 species
UGCCAGCAGCCGCGGUAAUAUGGAGGGGGUUAGCGUUGUUCGGAAUUACUGGGCGUAAAGCGCACGUAGGCGGAUUAGUAAGUUAGGGGUGAAAUCCCGGGGCUCAACCCCGGAACUGCCUCUAAUACUGCUAGUCUUGAGUUCGAGAGAGGUGAGUGGAAUUCCGAGUGUAGAGGUGAAAUUCGUAGAUAUUAGGAAGAACACCAGAGGCGAAGGCGGCUUACUGGGCCAUUACUGACGCUGAGGCGCGAAAGCGUGGGGAGCAAACAGGAUUAGAUA